rnacentral:rRNA from 1 species
AUUGAACGCUGGCGGCAGGCCUAACACAUGCAAGUCGAACGGUAACAGGAAGCAGCUUGCUGCUUUGCUGACGAGUGGCGGACGGGUGAGUAAUGUCUGGGAAACUGCCUGAUGGAGGGGGAUAACUACUGGAAACGGUAGCUAAUACCGCAUAACGUCGCAAGACCAAAGAGGGGGACCUUCGGGCCUUUUGCCAUCGGAUGUGCCCAGAUGGGAUUAGCUAGUAGGUGGGGUAACGGCUCACCUAGGCGACGAUCCCUAGCUGGUCUGAGAGGAUGACCAGCCACACUGGAACUGAGACACGGUCCAGACUCCUACGGGAGGCAGCAGUGGGGAAUAUUGCACAAUGGGCGCAAGCCUGAUGCAGCCAUGCCGCGUGUAUGAAGAAGGCCUUCGGGUUGUAAAGUACUUUCAGCGGGGAGGAAGGGAGUAAAGUUAAUACCUUUGCUCAUUGACGUUACCCGCAGAAGAAGCACCGGCUAACUCCGUG